CAUGCACCAGUGGGGUCCCUCGGCCUGGCCUGCAUUCUGGGACCCCUCGGGGGAUGUGGGAGAGCUGGUUUUGGCCCAAUCCCGCAGGCCAGGCUGAGGGACCCCACUGGUGCACA
rfam:Myotis lucifugus cont2.2441, whole genome shotgun sequence.